UUCUAGCACCUGAAAGGACAAAAGUGUCCCCGAUGCUAUCUAAGCUUAUCUAAUGCGAGUGGAGUGGUUGGAUAGGAUUGCUCUCGGGCUAGCUCGUCGCCAUGCCUCACUGCCGCCUGCACAACCCAAUGGAGCUCUCCGCCCUAGCUUGGCCACGCAUGUGCGAGUAACCAUAGCUCCCCGCCGGUGCUCGCCCACGCCUUGCUGAUGCCUGCGCGACCCACCGCGGCUCGUCGCCGGUCCUCGUCCACAUCUGCAGGCGCCGGCGGAGCUCAUCCUCGCCCCUCGGAUGCCUAUGCGGGCCACCGCAGCUCGCGGCAGGUUCUCCCCCAUGCCUGCGCGCGACAGCGCAGCUCUCCACGGGUGCUUGCCGUUUCGUGCGUGCAUUGGUCCUGAGCAAGUGGCUUGAUGGCAGCAGCGACCAGAGGAGGAGAUGGAUGCGCGUGAAGGUCCUGAAGAUGUUGAAUGCAAGCAACAUUGAUGACUUCCAGGCAGAGCCAGGGCGGCGGCCUGGCUUUGUCGAGCAGUAGCUCUGCCACUGAGUCGCUGGAUCUGCCUAUUACUUGCAAGUAGUGGAGCGACCUAACUCAUUCAGAUCCGUAAGCAUCAUUUGUUUCCUUCUUUUUGGUUGUUUGAAUCGUUUCAUUCCACUUUGUUUUCAUUGCAAAGAAAAAUUACCACCAGUUAGAUCAACCCGUGAUGAUAAUAUAUGUUAUUAAUUUAUCUUUGUCAUCCUCGUGUUCUUGUACGAUCAACAUCUACCGCUACAUCAUCUAUUUUUGGAAUGAAGAAAUUUAACUGUUGUAUAUA